GAGGGUGUAGCUCAGUGGUAGAGCACAUGCUUAGCAUGCACAAGGUCUUGGGUUCAAUCCCCAGUACCUCCA
rnacentral:tRNA from 1 species